GCCCAGGUGGUGGAAUGGUAGACACGCAGGAUUUAGGAUCCUGUGCCGCAAGGUAUGGAGGUUCGACUCCUCUCCUGGGCA
rnacentral:tRNA from 1 species